CCAAUAGCGUAUAUUAAAGUUGCUGCAGUUAAAAAGCUCGUAGUUGAAUUUCGGGACCGAUGUGUCGGUCGUGCCUCGGUACGUACUGGUAUUUUCGGUUUCUCCCUUCUGACGAACCUUGAUGUCAUUAAUUUGGUGUCUUGGGGAAUCAGGACUGUUACUUUGAAAAAAUUAGAGUGUUUAAAGCAGGCUCACGCUUGAAUACAUUAGCAUGGAAUAA
rnacentral:rRNA from 1 species